rnacentral:rRNA from 1 species
GACGAACCGUGCGAACGUUGUUCGGAAUCACUGGGCUUAAAGGGCGCGUAGGCGGUCAGCGGUCAGAAGUCAGCGGUCAGGUUCAAUCUGGUAGAAGUGCCUUGGAUACUGGCCAGCUCGAGGGAGGUAGGGUGCGUGGAACUUCUGGUGGAGCGGUGAAAUGCGUUGAUAUCAGAAGGAACGCCGGUGGCGAAAGCGACGCACUGGAUCUCUACUGACGCUGAGGCGCGAAAGCUAGGGGAGCGAACGGGAUUAGAAACCCGUGUAGU